GUGUUGUAGGCAAGGAGAGAAAGAUAGCACUCUCUUUACAAAGAUGGGUAAGGUCCUCGGGCCUAUUAACUGGGCCAGUGGUUAAGGCAUUGCCGUGUACUGUGGCAUUGCCAUGUACUAUG
rnacentral:ncRNA from 1 species